rnacentral:lncRNA from 1 species
UUUUGUGGCUGCAUGACAUGGAUGACAUCCAUUUUGUAUUAUGUUAGGUGUAUAUUCAGAAAAGUUAUUUUUGCUAAUUAUACUUUACUUUUCUGUAUCAUCCUCUAUUUUUGGCAAUGUAAAUUAUAAAUUUUACUUAUUUCGAUAUGGUUGUAAACUUAUUAAUCCUUUAGAUACCUAGCUAUUUUAAAUUUAUCAUGUGGUGGAUACUUGAUUGUUGGGU